rnacentral:tRNA from 1 species
AAGAUCUUUAGCUUAAUUAAAGUACCUGCCUUGCACGCAGGUGAUGUGGGAUAAUGGCCCGCAAGUCUUA